rnacentral:rRNA from 1 species
AUCUGAAACUGCUGAAAGGUAACCGGAUCGUUCCCAGCGUCUAGAAUCUGUGACAUAUUUCACUGGCGAGCGUGUACGUUUAUAUACUGUGGUAGCCGCUGUCUAGCUGCGCCUGGUGUAUAUAUAGUGCAUGUUUGCUAUUGCUUUGUGUUGCGGUGGGACGUCAAUGUCAGUUCAUGUGCUGCGGGAAAUGGCUGCCAAGGAGGUAGGGUUUACGCUUGCGUUUGCCUAUUAUAUCUUGGUGGACGAGUCGUCGCGGCUGGGACUGAGGUGCCUACAACGUGUUGCUAAGUGGAUGCACAUCUCUGUAUGCUCCGCGUGCAGAUAGCUUGCUAUGUGCAUGUUGCUGUGUACAGAUUGAAGAGUAUCUCAACUUGUCGCCGUUCGGGACAUUGGCGAAAUGGGGCGAUCCGACCCGUCUUGAAACACGGACCAAGGAGUCUAACAUAUGUGCAAGUGUUAGGGUGUGGAAACCCCAGCGCGAAAUUAAAGUAAAGGACAGCUCCGUUGUCUGAGGUAGGAAACGCUGCGGACUUCGGACUGCGGUGUGGCACUAUCGACCGAUCAUGAACCUUCGUGGUGAAAGAUUUGAGUUUGAGCACAUAUGUUGGUACCCGAAAGAUGGUGAACUAUGCCCGAGUAGGGUGAAGCCAGGGGAAACUCUGGUGGAAGCUCGUAGCGAUUCUGACGUGCAAAUCGAUCGUUGAACUCGGGUAUAGGGGCGAAAGACUAAUCGAACCAUCUAGUAGCUGGUUCCCUCCGAAAUUUCCCUCAGGAUAGCUGCAGCUUAUUUAUGAUAGUUUUAUGAGGUAAAGCGAAUGAUUAGAGGCCUCGGGAAAGAAUCUUUCUCGACCUAUUCUCAAACUUUAAAUCUGUAAGACCUGCAGGUUUCUUAAUUGAACUUGCAGAAUUGAAUAUCUAAGCUGUUAGUGGGCCAUACGGGGUAAGCUCGUCUGGCGAUGCGGGAUGAACCGAACGCAAAGAUAAAGUGCCAAAAUGCCCGCUCACCUAGAUACCAUAAAAGGUGUUGGUUCAUAUAGACAGCAGGACGGUGGCCAUGGAAGUUGGAAUCCGCUAAGGAGUGUGUAACAACUCACCUGCCGAAUGAACUAGCCCUGAAAA